UAGGAAUUUGAAGCGCCUGGACUAGUAAUGGACGACACGAAACUAGUUGACGAGGAGGAGGUUUAUCGAUUUUUCGGCGGAUGCCUCCCGGUUGUAUUAGCCAAUCGUAAGUCAUACUUUAAAACAUUAAGGUAACUUAAUGCACAAAGAGUAGGGCAUGCUAAUCA
rnacentral:ncRNA from 2 species